rnacentral:lncRNA from 1 species
AUGAAGGGAUAGUGAUGAAGACACAUACUGUAGUCAGUGUAAUCUAUUGUAUGGGAUAAGAAUGGAAUGAGAUACUCAACAUUUCCAACAUUUAAUAAAAAGAGGUUUAAUUCAUUUGAGAAUAGAAAAGAUUCAAUUGGGUUAUAAUACUGAUUCAUUUGAAUGCAUCUCCCCCUAUUGUUAUGGUGUUAUAUCUGGUCAGAAGACUGUAUAAAGCCUGAGGAGUGGCUGGAUUUUUAUGUGAUUUUUUUGGGGAGGGACUCAGGUAUCUAGAAAAUUAUGCCAGCAGAGUUUUAGUAAGAUGGAAAAACGGAGUUUUAUGAAUGGUUACCUUAACUUUUAGGUAAAUAAUAACAAAUUAAUCUAACAUGUCAAGGACCUUUGUAGAUGUUGCUCCUAUAAUAAUUUAUAUACCCUCUAUACUUGCAAUGACUUUGUUUUCCAGAUUCCAUUCAGAGUAUGAGGUCUGAUAAAAGAUAAUCCUUUUGGAAAAUUCCUUAAAGUCUACUUAUUUUCUUGAAACAAAGAUUGCACUAGGAAAUCUGUGACAUAUAGUUGGUCACCUUACAUAUACUGCAUUGCUACAGUUUAUUGACUCAUUGAUUAAAAUGGAAGAUCAAAUAAAUGUUGCAGCCAAAGUUCUUGAAAGAUGUCACCAAUGUAGCUACUAAUAGCAUAAAAAGAAAGGAUAUAAUUGAAAAUUGAUGGUUUAACGCCUACAUAGUUACUGUCAGCCACAGACUCACAUUGGUCCGUAGCAGGGCAAUGGAAAAAUACAGUAAAAACACUUCUAAGUCACAAGGAGCCAAUAAAACAAAUGAUGACACCAUGGUUUCCCAGCAUGAUCAGUAGUCACUUCUGAUCCUAGAGGAAGAUGUUUCCCCAUCAAAGAACGCGGGUGCACAAUUGGGGUGUGAAUUUGUCCAUUUUGAGGCGAUUCUACGUACGAACAACACGAGCAGAGUCCAGAGCCAGGAGAGCAGGUGAAGCUGUCUGUGGGUUUCUCAGUUCAUAGUCAUUCUUGGGACAGAAGACAAAAGAUAUUAAAGGGUACAAAAUUACUGUGUUCCUCCAUUGUCUACCAUUUUUCAACUAGCAGUAAGUAGAUAGGAUCAACAUUAAAGACAGCUUUGAAUUUUGAAAGAAUGGG